UACUAGUGUCAUCACCUGUUUGUCCGUCAU
rnacentral:piRNA from 1 species